rnacentral:rRNA from 1 species
GACGAACGCUGGCGGCGUGCCUAACACAUGCAAGUCGAGCGGAGUCGAUCGACGGAAGCCUUCGGGCGGAAGAUGGUUGACUUAGCGGCGGAUGGGUGAGUAACGCGUGGGCAACCUGCCUCGAAGACCGGGAUAACAGCCCGAAAGGGCUGCUAAUACCGGAUGUGGUCAAGGAUCCGCAUGGAUUUUUGAUUAAAGGGGAAACCCGUUUCGAGAUGGGCCCGCGUCCUAUCAGCUAGUUGGUGAGGUAAAAGCUCACCAAGGCGACGACGGGUAGCCGGCCUGAGAGGGUGACCGGCCACACUGGAACUGAGACACGGUCCAGACUCCUACGGGGGCAGCAGUGGGGAAUCUUCCACAAUGGGCGAAAGCCUGAUGGAGCGACGCCGCGUGAGCGAAGAAGGCCUUCGGUUGUAAGACUCUGUCUGGAGGACGAAGGAAGUGACGGUACCUCCGGACGGAAGACCACGGCUAACUACGUGCCAGCAGCCGCGGUAAAUAAGCGUACU